UAUUAAAAACAAGGGCAUCAUGUUUGUAUUAUCUUUAUAUAUCAUCAGUUCCUGUUACAAAGACAUGCAAGGAUGAAUUGACACGAAUUCCAUGACUAACAGUGGGGGAAGAGCCAAGGAAGCUUCACUGGUCAAAUGAAAAAUGACAUAGUAAAGACCACCACCACUCUGUCUUCUCCCCGCCAAACAGAGCGAUCACGGCCUUUUCAAGGGAUCCUGGUGACUUAAGCACUCGGAUAAGUGGCUAUAGCCAAAAGAUCCCAGGAGGCAACCUGACUACAAGACAACGAAGCUAAUGUUCCCCGUAUGUUGCAGACGGAAGGUGAUGGAAGACAGACCACCAGGGAGGACACCAAAACAGUCCUGUCCUCUGAGCUCCUUCUGAAAAACUGUCCCUCCCUCUGGCUGCUCCACCAGACCCCAGGGACCCUUUGUUCAAA